rnacentral:rRNA from 1 species
CCUACGGGUGGCAGCAGUAGGGAAUUUUGCGCAAUGGGGGAAACCCUGACGCAGCAACGCCGCGUGAUCGAUGAAGCCCUUCGGGGUGUAAAGAUCUGUCAGUGGGGACGAAACCUGACGGUACUCACAGAGGAAGCACCGGCCAACUCCGUGCCAGCAGCCGCGUUAAUACGGGGGGUGCAAGCGUUGUCCGGAAUCAUUGGGCGUAAAGAGUUCGUAGGUGGCACGUUAAGUCUGGUGUGAAAGGCGGAAGCUCAACUUCCGUAGGGCAGGGGAUACUGGCGUGCUUGAGUGCGGUGGAAGUAGAGGGAAUUCGUGGUGUAGCGGUGAAAUGCGUAGAGAUGAGGAAGAACAUCGAUGGCGUAAGCGCUUUGCUGGGGCGGAAUUGACGCUGAGGAACGAAAGCCGGGGUAGCGAAUGGGAUUAGAUACCCGAGUAGUC